GACGAACGCUGGCGGCGCGCUUAACACAUGCAAGUCGAGCGAGAACCAGGGCUUCGGCCCUGGGGAAAGCGGCGAACGGGUGAGUAACACGUGAGUAAUCCACCCUCGGCACCGGGAUAGCCCGGGGAAACCCGGAUUAAUACCGGAUGGCCCGCCGGCCCUGCGGGGCUGGUGGAAAAGGUAGCUUCGGCCUCCGGCCGAGGACGAGCUCGCGGCGGAUUAGCUUGUUGGUGGGGUAACGGCCCACCAAGGCGACGAUCCGUAGCUGGUCUGAGAGGAAGAUCAGCCACACUGGGACUGAGACACGGCCCAGACUCCUACGGGAGGCAGCAGUGGGGAAUCUUGCGCAAUGGGCGAAAGCCUGACGCAGCGACGCCGCGUGAGGGAAGAAGGCCUUCGGGUUGUAAACCUCUUUCAGUAGGGACGAAGCCACUCGGGUUAAUAGCCCAGAGGGUGACGGUACCUACAGAAGAAGCCCCGGCUAACUACGUGCCAGCAGCCGCCGUAAGAC
rnacentral:rRNA from 1 species